UCCGUAGGGGGUCUGCCAAGUCUGAUGUGAAAUCCUGUGGCUCAACCGCGGAACUGCAUUGGAAACUGGCGGACUAGAGUGUGCGAGGGGUGAGCGGAAUUCCUGGUGUAGCGGUGGAAUGCGUAGAUAUCAGGAAGAACACCGAUGGCGAAGGCGGCUCACUGGCGCAUCACUGACCCUGAGGGACGAAAGCGUGGGUAGCGAACAGGAUUAGAUACCCUGGUAGUCC
rnacentral:rRNA from 1 species